rnacentral:rRNA from 1 species
GAUCAUGGCUCAGGAUGAACGCUAACUACAGGCUUAACACAUGCAAGUCGAGGGGCGGCAUGUUGGUUGCUUGCAACCAAUGAUGGCGACCGGCGCACGGGUGAGUAACGCGUAUCCAACCUACCCUUGUCCAUCGGAUAACCCGUCGAAAGGCGGCCUAACACGAUAUGCGGUUCACAGCAGGCAUCUAACGUGAACGAAAUGUAAAGGAGAAGGAUGGGGAUGCGUCUGAUUAG